GCCCAGAUGGCAGAGCGGUCCAAUGCGUCAGUCUUGAAAACUGAUUCCUUUACGGGAGCACAGGUUCGAAUCCUGUUCUGGGCG
rnacentral:tRNA from 1 species